rnacentral:rRNA from 1 species
AUGGCUGCUAAGAUCCUCCUGGCCCCGCUGAUCUACGACGGCCGCCUCGUCUUCAAGAUGGUCUUUGCACCCAGCCCCACCAGUGACGACUUCCUGGCAGCCGUGAUAUGUGACAUCAAUAGGCUUGCCUACGUCACCACUAGGGCCAGGAUGCGGGUCGUGCUCGACCCCAUCCACCUCGCCGAAGGAGACCAGAUCGCCGACUUCCUUUACCAUAGAAAUUGUAUGGUCAACUGCCUCACUCAGUUUGGAGAUGUCCACGUGCUCCGCCUGCCGCAGCACCGCCGCCGGGAACCUAUCAUUCUCAAGGGCCACAUGUUAGCACAUCUUGUAGUGCAUAACAAGUGGAUCGUCCAGAUGCACGGGACAGGACCAGAUCUAAACACGUCACCCACUAUAGAGACAUUGUUGUCAUAUGUAGGAAGCAACAUGCUGUUUGACACCUCCACCGGCUUCGACCCGCCAUACAAUACAAUUUCGAAUUUCAUUAGUGCUAAUAACCUUGUGUUAUGCGAUGGUAACAUAUACCAAAUCUGGAGGAAUGCAUCCUGCAUGGUUCGUUUGCAGCUGCCAGGACGAGGUCGUUGCCGUGUAGAACAUGACGGAAUAUUUGUUUUGUGGUAUGACUCCCAGCGCCGACCAUAUUGGGACGUUGUGGCCGACUUAAGGGGACACUCAGUGUUUGUUGGGAGGAACAAUGCAGUGUCGAUAUAUGCGGAAGGUGUUCCGGGACUCAAGGGUGAUUGCAAGCUCUGCCCCGCCGCAUGCCACACCUUCAAGCUCAUCACAAUCCCCUCGGUUAGGACAUGUCUUGGUUGCCGCGGCGCAUGGCUUUCCCUCUCUAUCUGCAUCGACGAUGGUCAUAGUCUGCUCAGCCUCUUCCACCCCGUCAUGGCCACUGAGAUCCUCCUGCCCCCGCUUAUCUACGACAGGCGCCUCGUCUCCAAGAUGGUCUUUACUCCCAACCCCACCAAAGACGACUUCCUGGCGGCCGUGAUAUGUGACAUCAAUGGGUUUGCCAGCGUAACCGCUGGGACCAGGAGGUGGGCCGUCCUCGACCCCAUCCGCCUCGAUGAUGGAGACCAGAUCGCCGACCUCCUCUACCACAGAAAUGGUAUGGUCUACUGCCUCACUCGGUUUAGAGAUGUCCGCGUGCUCCACCUACCGCAGCACCGCUGCAGGAACCUAUCAUCCUCAAGGGCCACACAUUAG